GUAUAUGGUCAAACCUCCUUGUCAAGCCCUGAUUUUGUCUGUUCUCGGAAGAAAACCGGGUUGAGCCUGAUUAGUACUUGGAUAGGAGGCUGCUGGGAAUACUAGGUGCCACAAAAG
rnacentral:rRNA from 1 species